rnacentral:rRNA from 1 species
UACGGAGGGUGCAAGCGUUACUCGGAAUCACUGGGCGUAAAGAGCGCGUAGGCGGUUUGAUAAGUUAGAGGUGAAAUGUCGGGGCUCAACCCCGAAACUGCCUCUAAUACUGUUGGACUAGAGAAUAGUUGCGGUAGGCGGAAUGUAUGGUGUAGCGGUGAAAUGCUUAGAGAUCAUACAGAACACCGAUUGCGAAGGCAGCUUACCAAACUAUAUCUGACGUUGAGGCACGAAAGCGUGGGUAGCAAAAAGG